UACAGAGGGUGCGAGCGUUGUCCGGAAUCACUGGGCGUAAAGGGCGCGUAGGCGGCGCUCCAAGUCUGUGGUGAAAGCUCGAUGCUCAACAUCGAGUCGGCCACGGAGACUGGAGGGCUCGAGCACUGUAGGGGCAGAUGGAAUUCCGGGUGUAGCGGUGGAAUGCGUAGAGAUCCGGAAGAACACCGGUGGCGAAGGCGGUCUGCUGGGCAGUUGCUGACACUGAGGCGCGACAGCGUGGGGAGCAAACAGG
rnacentral:rRNA from 1 species